AUUGAACGCUGGCGGCAGGCCUAACACAUGCAAGUCGAACGAUUGGCGGACGGGUGAGUAAUGUCUGGGAAACUGCCUGAUUGAGGGGGAUAACUACUGGAACCGUUAGCUAAUACCGCUUACCAUCGGUUUUGCCCAGAUGGGAUUAGCUAGUAGGUGGGGUAAAGGCGCACCUAGUCGACGAUCCCUAGCUGGGCUGAGAGGAUGACCAGCCAUACUGAAAAUGAGAAACGGUCCAGACUGCUAGUGGAGGCAGAAGGGGGGAAUAUGGCACAAUGGGCGCAAGCCGGAUGGAGACAUGAGGCGUGGAUGAAGAAGGAGUUGGGGUGGUAAAGUACUGUCAGCGGGGAGGCGUUAGCGGCAGAAGAAGCACCGGCUAACUCCGUGCCAGCAGCCGCGGGAAUAC
rnacentral:rRNA from 1 species